GGCCGGGGGCGGGGCGACCGCGGUUCCGGGAUCCGGGUCCAGCCUCGGCCCGAGGCCGCGGGGUGCAGCUAGCGGGUGCAUGUGGGGGCGUGCGGUGAGGAGGCGCUGCCCGCGGGGGCUGCGGCGCGGCCGGGAGGCGUUGCUGGCACUGCUGGCCCUGGCAGGGCUGGGCGCGCUGCUGCGGGCUCGAAGCAGGUCGGGGACGGUGGACCCGGGACCCCCGCGGACUCCUCUCCCCGGGCGUCACGAGCCAGUGCUGCCCAGGCCGCCGCUGCCCGCCGAUGCUCUGGGAGCGCAUGGGGAGGCGGUGCGGCUGCAGCUGCAGGGCGAGGAGCUGCGGCUGCAGGAGGAGAGCGUGAAGCAGCACCAGAUCAACAUCUAUCUGAGCGACCGUAUCUCGCUGCACCGCCGACUGCCCGAGCGCUGGAACCCUCUGUGCAGAGAGGUGAAAUACGAUUAUGAUAACCUGCCCAAGACUUCUGUUGUCAUAGCAUUUUAUAAUGAAGCCUGGUCCACACUCCUUCGGACAGUUUACAGUGUUCUUGAGACCUCCCCUGACAUCCUGCUGGAGGAGGUCAUUCUGGUAGAUGACUACAGCGACAGAGAGCACCUAAAGGAACGCUUGGCCAACGAGCUGUCACAGCUCCCCAAGGUGCGCCUGAUCCGUGCUAGCAGGAGAGAGGGCCUAGUGCGAGCCCGGCUACUGGGAGCCUCUGCGGCCAGGGGCGAAGUGCUGACCUUCCUAGACUGUCACUGUGAAUGUCAUGAGGGGUGGCUGGAGCCUCUGCUGCAGAGGAUCCACGAGAAGGAGUCCGCAGUCGUGUGCCCUGUUAUCGAUGUGAUUGACUGGAACACCUUUGAGUACCUGGGCAACUCGGGAGAGCCGCAGAUUGGCGGCUUUGACUGGCGGCUGGUAUUCACGUGGCACGUGGUUCCCCAGCGGGAGCGGCAGUCGAUGCGGUCGCCGAUCGAUGUUAUCAGGUCUCCAACUAUGGCUGGGGGCCUGUUUGCUGUGAGUAAGAGAUAUUUUGAUUAUCUGGGGUCUUACGAUACAGGAAUGGAAGUCUGGGGAGGAGAAAACCUUGAGUUCUCCUUUAGGGUGUCAGGACGCUCUGCCUCUUCUAGAAGCUUCCUCUCUACCUUUCAAACCUCUCUUCUUCCUUGCUGCUCUCUUCUCUUCUGUGGUGUCAGAUCUGGCAGUGUGGUGGCACUCUGGAAACGCACCCGUGCUCCCAUGUGGGCCACGUCUUCCCUAAGCAAGCUCCCUAUUCCCGUAGCAAGGCCCUGGCCAACAGUGUCCGAGCUGCAGAAGUGUGGAUGGAUGAAUUUAAAGAACUCUACUACCACCGCAAUCCCCAGGCCCGCCUGGAACCCUUUGGGGACGUGACAGAGAGGAAGAAGCUUCGGGCUAAGCUCCAGUGUAAAGACUUCAAGUGGUUCUUAGAUACAGUGUACCCAGAAUUGCACGUGCCAGAGGACAGGCCUGGCUUCUUUGGGAUGCUCCAGAACAGAGGCCUAAGAGGGUACUGCCUUGACUACAAUCCUCCCAAUGAAAACCAUGUUGAAGGCCACCAGGUCCUUCUGUACCUCUGCCAUGGGAUGGGUCAGAACCAGUUUUUCGAGUAUACGACCCGGAAAGAAAUACGCUAUAACACCCGCCAGCCCGAAGCCUGCAUCACCGUGGAGGACGGGAAGGAUACCCUUGUCAUGGAUCUCUGCCGAGAGACCGUCCCAGAGAACCAGGAGUUCAUCCUACAGGAGGAUGGCACUUUAGUUCACAAGCACAGCAGGAAAUGUGUGGAGGCCACAGAGAAGGUGUUAGACAACGGCUUUGCACCAUACUUACGGGACUGUACCAACUCAGAUAACCAGAGGUGGUUCUUCAAGGAGCGCAUGUCGUAGUGCAUCGCCUUGCCAAGGAAGGAGCCCUCCACGGCUGUGGACUGUGUGCCCAAUGAGAUGGACAGCGUACACGGUUGUCAUUCGUGAAUGUGCUGGGUGUCACAAGAGUGUGAAUAAGCUUUGUACAGAUUUUGAAAACUUUAAAAAUGUCUCCUGGCAUCCUGCUUUCUGAGGGCAAUCCUAAGAUGUUGCCUUUGGUAUUUGGAAAGGAUAUUUUCCUAUCAAGAUGUGCAUUUUACAAUGGUGCCUUUUAUUCUCAUUAGCAAAAAAGGUAAAUACUUUAUUUUGAUACAUACAAAGCUUCCUGGGUGUUUGUAGCACAUUUUACACAAACUGUUAAUACCUCAAAUGUUGAGUUAGAGUUCUCUCAGGGGGAUGAGGUGGACACUAGAAAUACUGUUGAUUUCUUCAGGUGUGAGUGGGGUGAGAUAGUCUAGAUUCAUACAAUAAAGAAUGCUUUUGCUUAUGCGUUGAUGCCACA